GUGUCAAAAUGGGAAUCGAACCCACAGUGUUCCGCGUUACCGGGCAGAUGCCAUGUCCACUAGGCUACCUGGACA
rnacentral:tRNA from 1 species